rnacentral:rRNA from 1 species
AUACGGAGGGUGCAAGCGUUAUUCGGAUUUAUUGGGUUUAAAGGGUCCGUAGGCGGAUCUGUAAGUCAGUGGUGAAAUCUCAUAGCUUAACUAUGAAACUGCCAUUGAUACUGCAGGUCUUGAGUAAGGUAGAAGUAGCUGGAAUAAGUAGUGUAGCGGUGAAAUGCAUAGAUAUUACUUAGAACACCAAUUGCGAAGGCAGGUUACUAUGUCUUAACUGACGCUGAUGGACGAAAGCGUGGGGAGCGAACAGGAUUAGAAACCCCAGUAGUCC